CAAGAUAUAGUUUAUUUAAAAUAUUAAUUUUGGGGAUUGAAGUAAUUAGUUUUAAUUUUCUUGA
rnacentral:tRNA from 1 species